GUUUACAUUAAAAUGUAAAACUUGAUGAUAAAGUAUGAUAAGUUGAAAAAAGUGACAUUUGAAGGUCAGAAAGUGACUUUUCAUCAAAAGUACCAUAACAAAACUUGUUUCCAUUCAUCCUAUGUGUCCAUGCACACUUGUGCUCUUUAUCCGCUCAAAACGCUAUACAGCGCUUCAGAAGGCGCUAGGAGCAAAGGAAAGUGGUUUUUCUAACAAACUCAUGUAAUCAAUUGCCCGACGUACUCCAAUUUGAUUUUUUUCACAUAGUUAGACAUAAUAUAGUACUAUGAAAUGUUUCUGACCUAAAAUAAUACGAAAUAUGAUUGUUUACAUUAAAAUGUAAAACUUGAUGAUAAAGUAUGAUAAGUUGAAAAAAGUGACAUUUGAAGGUCAGAAAGUCACUUUUCAUCAAAAGUACCAUAACAAAACUUGUUUCCAUUCAUCCUAUGUGUCCAUGCACACUUGUGCUCUUUAUCCGCUCAAAACGCUGUACAGCGAACGAGAAGGCGCUAGGAGCAAAGGAAAGUGGUUUUUCUAACAAACUCAUGUAAUCAAUUGCCCGACGUACUCCAAUUUGAUUUUUUUCACAUAGUUAGACAUAAUAUAGUACUAUGAAAUGUUUCUGACCUAAAAUAAUACGAAAUAUGAUUGUUUACAUUAAAAUGUAAAACUUGAUGAUAAAGUAUGAUAAGAUGCAAAAAGUAACAUUUGAAGGUCAGAAAGUCACUUUUCAUCAAAAGUACCAUAACAAAACUUGUUUCCAUUCAUCCUGUGUGUCCAUGCACACUUGUGCUCUUUAUCCGCUCAAAACGCUAUACAGCGCUUCAGAAGGCGCUAGGAGCAAAGGAAGUGGUUAAGUGGUUUUUCUAACAAACUCAUGUAAUCAAUUGCCCGACGUACUCCAAUUUGAUUUUUUUUUACAUAGUUAGACAUAAUAUAGUACUAUGAAAUGUUUCUGACCUAAAAUAAUACGAAAUAUGAUUGUUUACAUUAAAAUGUAAAACUUGAUGAUAAAGUAUGAUAAGUUGAAAAAAGUGACAUUUGAAGGUCAGAAAGUCACUUUUCAUCAAAAGUACCAUAACAAAACUUGUUUCCAUUCAUCCUGUGUGUCCAUGCACACUUGUGCUCUUUAUCCGCUCAAAACGCUAUACAGCGAACGAGAAGGCGCUAGGAGCAAAGGAAAUGGUUUUUCUAACAAACUCAUGUAAUCAAUUGCCCGACGUACUCCAAUUUGAUUUUUUUCACAUAGUUAGACAUAAUAUACUACUAUGAAAUGUUUCUGACCUAAAAUAAUACGAAAUAUGAUUGUUUACAUUAAAAUGUAAAACUUGAUGAUAAAGUAUGAUAAGUUGAAAAAAGUGACAUUUGAAGGUCAGAAAUUCACUUUUCAUCAAAAGUACCAUAACAAAACUUGUUUCCAUUCAUCCUAUGUGUCCAUGCACACUUGUGCUCUUUAUCCGCUCAAAACGCUAUACAGCGACUGAGAAGGCGCUAGGAGCAAAGGAAAGUGGUUUUUCUAACAAACUCAUGUAAUCAAGUGCCCGACGUACUCCAAUUUGAUUUUUUUCACAUAGUUAGACAUAAUAUAGUACUAUGAAAUGUUUCUGACCUAAAAUAAUACGAAAUAUGAUUGUUUACAUUAAAAUGUAAAACUUGAUGAUAAUGUAUGAUAAGGUGAAAAAAGUGACAUUUGAAGGUCAGAAAUUCACUUUUCAUCAAAAGUACCAUAACAAAACAUGUUUCCAUUCAUCCUAUGUGUCCAUGCACACUUGUGCUCUUUAUCCGCUCAAAACGCUAUACAGCGAACGAGAAGGCGCCAGGAGCAAAGGAAAGUGGUUUUUCUAACAAACUCAUGUAAUCAAGUGCCCGACGUACUCCAAUUUGAUUUUUUUCACAUAGUUAGACAUAAAG
ensembl:lncRNA